UUCUUUGCCCGAAGACGUAGCACACCACCCUGGUGUGUGAACCUCGUUAAAUCUCUGUGUUGUGCGGAUUUUUGUCUAUUUAUUUUCGUAUUUCUUUGGUGUUUGAUCUAACAAAGCUCUCUCUUACAUGCUCCUGCAAGUGAUUUCUCUCUAACACCCCUUGUUACCAUUCGCGAACCCUAAGAUUUUGUGAAUGAUUCGAAACCUGGCAACCCCUGGUUCUAUCACCUUCCUACGCAACUGGUCUCUCUCAUGAGGUUCUUGCAACUGAUCUCUCUCUUACACCCCCUGUUACCAUUCGCAAACCCUAAGACAUCAUCUAAGUAGUCAAGUGGCGAUGGAAAUCCUGUGUAAUCACCUCUAUUGGUAUUGAUAUUUGCAAGUUUCAACUUUAAUUCAGACGUAGCAUCUUUAACCAGCUGGUAUCCCUCGACUGUAUUUGAAGCUUCUGAUGCUAUCUUAACAAGUUCAAGACAAAGCAACCUAUACCGUUGUGUGCAAUCCAAGUCUCAAACCGGAGGUGGGAACUACCACCAGAUUAUUGCCGAAGGGGAAUAGAUGACCCUACAUGUUUGUGUAUUGCUUGCCAGUCCAACUGGAGGGGAUUUGUACCUUCCAAUCCCAGACGUGAUGCGCAUGUACCCCAAGGUCGAAAUUGAAUCAAACGACCAGUGGUCAUACUUGAAUCCUAAUCCGCACGAGCCUAAUCAAGAUGAUGAUGCAGGUACAAUUGGGCCGAUGGUUUGUGACUCUCUUUCCUCUGAACCUGAGUACGAAGUGAGCGACUGGUGGAUGCUGAAAGUUGGAGAGCAUGACCUGGAUUGUGCCUAUGAUAUCUGUGUAUACGUGGCACUAUGGGGUGUUGGGCGUAUUUUGUUAUUUUGAUACAAAUUUGUGGAUGGUAUACUUUUAAACUUGAUAAUUAUAAGUCUUAGAUAAUUGUAACAGAUAACCUAGUUAUGGAUAUUUACAGUAUUGUAGA